CCACCCCUUCCCAGACCUCAUUUAAGGGUUGGCAGUGGAGGUAAAGGUAUCUUACUGGGGAUUUCUGUGUACGUGGGGCUUUUCAAGUGUGCUAUGUGAUGGAAAGAAAGAACCCGGGCCUUUAUGCACAGUGCUUGUCAGGGGAAACAACAACCAACUGAAACAAAGGAAAUCUCAAUUCAGUAAGCUUUGCUGAGAACCUCUUGGAAGACCAUAUCAACUCAAUUUUCUUUGCCCACCUGCUUCCUGAUUCUGUCAUUGAGCUUACAAACUGAUGAGGUGCAACUUCCCUUGACCAAAGCUGAUUCCUCUUCUGAUAACAUUGAAAGUCUGCAUCAGAAUUGAAGUUGAGUUUGUGCCAAUAACUGUGCAGAUUCAUGGCAGCCUCCAUACUGUGGUGCUGCCUGUGCAUUGACGCAUGCAACUUCUUGGUGUCCCUGUGGGUACUGAAGAGAUCAAGCUGUUUUUCAUUCAUCCCCCUUCUUUCGUGUGUCUGACUCAACGCUUUAAGACUGGUGACAACAGAAGACUCCCUGUGGUGUGCCAGCCCUAAUCUCCCAUUGUACAGGAGGGCAGAGGUGAUGAUGACUAACAAUUCCCUGGUGUGAUACAUAAGGUGGGAGGUUACAGUGCAAGCUCAACCACAACCUGUUUGUGACUGAGGUGAGGAGAUAUGUCAUGCAACUGUACUUCCUAAAAUCAAACAAACUAUUCUUUCAUUUUUGAAGCUGAACAGACGAGAUGUGUAAAGAUCUCCACAUUCAAGAGAGCCAUCUUUGAGAGCAUUUAAAGAGCCACCCUAUAUCUUGUUUAAUAAAAUAAUUUUCAGUAAAUAUAUUUUAGGUAGUUAAAUCAGUUAGUGGAAGCAUCACAAGGAAAUAGGGUACCAAUUUCCUAUAAGCCUAAAUUUUUGGCUGUGAUUCUUUAACUGUAAAAAAAAAAAGUUGCUAUAUAAUUCUCCCUUUGGCAAGGUGUAUGCAUCACAGUGAUAUAUAAACAGCAUAUAUAUAAACAGCAUGCGAAGUGGCUGUGCUUCAUUGGAUGGAACCCAUAAUUCACUAAGUGCUCAGAUCUGAACUCUCCUUCAGAAUGCAGAGUGUGUGCCACUGCUGCUCAAGUCGAGAGACAAAGAGCAUUUAGUACUCCUGUGCUUGUGUGUUGCUGUUCUGGCUGGAGUCUUACAAGGGAAAAAAAUCCAGCAGUAAUACAUGAUAUUUUGUGUAAGUGGACAUGGAAUACAUGAAGUAUUUUCAACCUACUUGCUGUAAACUACUUACACUGCACAGCAGAUGCUCUGUCCUCCCAAAAACUGUGAACAAGUUAUUGUGGUUAAUGAUUAUAGUUAAAUGUUUGUUUCUGCUAACCUCUUCAAUGUGACAGGCUCUUACUGUCUCUCUCUCUAUAUGUAUAUAUAUUUUCUCUAUACCUCACAUAUAUAUUUUCUAUCUCUCUCUCUAUAUAUAAUUUUCUCUGUAUAUACAUAUAGAGAGAGACAGUAAGAGCCUGUCACAUUGAAGAGGUUAGCAGAAAAAAGAUUAAUUUCCCAUUCAAAAGUCAUUUUAAUUUUUCAAGUUGUUCAUGAUAGGUCUAACAUUGCCUCAGGCUGGAUGUGGUUAACAGUGGAUAGAACUUCGUCAGGUGCCUGAACAAUGAGUUUCUACUAAAGUAAUAUUUUUAACCUUAUGCACCAUUUGAAAAAUGAUAUUCUGAUUACUUCAGCCUAGAGAGAUCACAUCAUCAAAUGAGCUUGCUGAAAAACAAAAUAGGCAUCAGAAAACCCAUAGUACAGUGUUUUCUAUACUGUAUAAAUUUAAAACAUUGUUUAAUACAUUGGAGAACUACACAAUAGUACCACUAAUAUUUUUUAGUUUAAAAUGGUGCCUAGUCAAAGCUUUAUAUUUUCACAAAGAAGGUUUCCUAUUACUUCAAAAACAGAAUUCUCCAGUACCCAGAUUCAUUUAAAAACUCUCUGUGCUAGUGAAGUAAUUACUUCUGGAAAUUACAAAAAUCUUUUUAGCAUAGUUAGAAUGCCCCUUAAUUAGUGUGUUUCUAUGCUUACAAGAGUUAUCAUACAACUUUAACAGGUUUUGUAGAAGAGGUUUUUUUUUUGGCAGGACUUUUUAGAAAGAAUCUGAAAUGUCAUCAUGAGAAACACUGAUUUUUUUCUUAUUUCUGUUUUGUCUUUGCUAUAAAACAGUAAUGUGUGCUUCAUCGAUUGUGUAAUUUCUCAUAUUCUUUCAAAAUUUAAAGCUUAAUCUCAUUGCACACCCACUUCUUUUUUUUUUUGCUUUAAAGUUUUGUGUGGACUGCACCAUGUGUUUUUUUGUGUUACUUCUAUGCUGUGUUCCUCAGCUAACUGACCAAGUAGAUUGAACUGCAUUCCUGGUAAUAUGACAUGAUCUGUUUUAAGGUAAAGUGACAAGAAAAAUCUGUUUAUGUUGUAUGAUGUUUCCUGUUUUGUAUGAUGAUGAUUAACUAAAGUUUAUUCACUUUCUGGUUGGGUCAGUUUGAAAGAUUUGAAAAUAAUUUUAACUGGAUGAAGGGACAGGUUACUGUCUCUUCUAGAGUAUAUCAUGCUAUCAAUCUGUAUUUCAUUUUAUGGGCGUCAGUAGUGAUUGGUUUGGUGAGACUAUAACUGAAGGUCCAUAUGUGAUUCACUGGCCAUCGUUCAGGGACGUGUCCCACUCUUUGCUGGUAAAUUACAGAUAUCUGCAUUGUAUCCUCUAUUUCCUGUGAAUUAAUGGAUUUUGCUACAAGGGACUGUGUAAAUAUGUGCACAGAUAAAAUUUACCUUUUGUAAAUUAUCAACCUUAGAUUAAAUUGGCCUUAGUUGAGGAUCUUAUUUUUCUCACAUAGAGAGGAUUUACUAUAGGCACUUCACUCUUGUAGCUCAGAAACUUGUUGCUUUUAAUUAGAACAUUUGAAUACAUUUUGUCUUCACAUUUAAAGAAAACUGCCAACUUUAUUUAAAUGCUAUUCAAUAUUAAUGUGUACAGGUUUUUAACCUCUGUUAUAUUAAAUAUUUUUCUGAAAGAGUUUCCAGAGCACUUUCUGAAGAUGGCAAAAGUUUAACUAGACUUUCUUGAAGUCAAAAGCAAUGCUUUCAAUGGACAUAAAUGGAGUCAGAUUGACAAAGGUAUUCAGUUCCCACCAGCGAGCAAAGGUCCCUUCAGGGAGUAUGGGCUGAUGCAUUUCACCAAUUUUAUGGCUGUGUAACUUCAUUGAUUUCCAAAACACUGUCAUCACUAGAUGUGCUGUCAUCACCUCUACUUGCUAAGCACCAACUGCCACAACUGGCUCCAAUUCUGUGCAUUGUACCCUAGGUGUACAGUCACAUUUCAUAAGUCACAAAUUAAAAAUAUCUUAAAGGACAUACUAAUUAAGUAAAAUUGCAAAUUUUUAUCUUAGAGAUUUGUAACUACAUUUAACUCAAGAUAGAAUAGCCUUGCCUAUUGAAAAUAUUUCGUUCUAGAAAAUAGCUAUUUAUUGUUUCAUUGCCCAUUUAAUUUUCUAAAUCAUGUAUUUAAUCAAUAUGCACUGUAAUAGAGGUAGCAAUUUGUUUUCCUAGAAAGAUUUGUUUUCACUGAUGGCAUAAUGCAAUGAAUGAUGAAAACAUCCUAAAUGUGUCUUGAAAUGAAUGGUAGUAUGUCUCAGAAAAUCCUGCUUGAGGAAUUCAAAUUGGCUUCAGCAGGAGAGUAGCGUUGUAUGGGAUGCAGUCUAUGUGUAAUGCAUUCUAUAAGAAGGUAUUGGAAUGCAGGCAAGAGUGUUAACUAAGGAUGAAUUCCUUCUGUAGAUGUGUGCUGGAAUAAAUUUUAACUUCAGUCUUUCA